UUUUUUUUUUGGUAGAAACUGUAACAUAUGGGCCUUUUCCUUGCCAUUACAAUAUGGGCCUUUAUAUGGACCGUUGGCUCUUUUCUUUAUAUGGGCCUAUUGUCCUAAAUCCUAAUGAAAAAAAAGGAAAAAAAAUAAAUAAAACCAAACAUUAUUUUAGCCGGUUUUCAGUGAGUCAAAUCGACUCGGCUGCACUCGGGAAUCUGACUCAGUGGCUCUCCUCCGAUUCAUCUUCUGCUAUCACACUCUUCAGGUAUGAGGCGGGGAUGAAAUGCAGACUCGACUCUUUGUCUUGGUAUCAUAUCUCUACCAGUGUGUCCCAGAUCUGAGAUAAUCAACAAUGCUAAUGCAUUGACGUGGUUGAAUAAGUAGGUCUGAAUCUUCUGACAAGGGUCCUGAUUGGCUUAUAUUACUUCACUAUCUUCUCGUCAAGAAAUGACUGAACUCUUCAGCAGUACUGCUUGCAGACAAUUAUCUCAAUUUAUAGUGGCUAUAGGUUUUUUUCAUGUUUCGGAGUAUUUUUUAGCUGUUUACAUUCAUGGGAGAUCAAAUGUGACUCUGAAAUCUCUUUUGAUAAGCAAAAAUUACAUUGUGGCAAUGAUAUGCUCGUUGCUUGAGUACUGGCUUGAGAUCACCUUCCUUCCUGGACUGAAAGAAUAUUGGUGGAUAAGCAACUCAGGCCUUGGCAUGGUUGUCUUUGGGGAAAUAAUACGAAAAGUGGCAAUGGUAACAGCUGGUCAUGCCUUUACGCAUCUGAUUAAAGUCCACCAUGAGGAGCAACACAGACUAGUAACUCACGGAAUUUAUGGAUUUGUGAGGCAUCCAGGUUAUUGCGGCUUUUUCAUCUGGUCAGUUGGCACUCAGAUUAUGCUGUUAAAUCCCAUUUGUACCCUAGCAUUUGCAGUGGUAGUUUGGAAGUUCUUUGCUGGACGCAUACCCUAUGAAGAGUUUUUCUUGAGACAGUUCUUUGAUGAUGAGUAUGAAGAAUAUGCUCAAAGUGUCCCGUCCGGAGUACCAUUUGUGAAGUGAAAACUUUCCUUGUCUAUCAUGCAUGUCUUCAUCAGUCAGCAACAAGAUUUGCUUAGAAUCAGGAAAUCUCGGAGCAAAUGAUGAUAAGAUUGUAUUACCAUGAAGAUGAUAGCCUUAGAAUCCCCAAUAAUUCACCUGUAGAUAGGAGGAGGGGGAGGAUUUGGUAGUACAAAAUUGCGUACUGGAGCUUUCUGAGGUGGUGGUGGUGCGCUGACUGGUGGUCUUCGCCGUCUGCCAAGAAUCUUAAGUCCCCUUGUUGGUCGUCUAGGGAGGAUCUCUGAAAUUGGUUGAUGGACUAACCCAUUUGGUAGGGAGAGUAUUAGUCGGCCGUUUGCUGUCUCAAGGUACUGGGACUUUGUAGUCAAGACCAUACAGGGUAGCAUGGCUACUAACAGCAGACUUACCAUGUAAUUGAACCCCAUUUAAAUUCAACUCUAAAAAAACUUAUGAUAUGAAGAAAGGACUUAUGAUUAAUAACAGAGUUUGUUGAAAAUUUCGUAGCAGGUAAUGUGAGGCUAUUAUAAUACGGAAUAUGGAAGUUUAAUCAGAAUUUAAGGACAUUCUACCCAUUGUUUUAGUCUUCCACGUUACAAAGUACAAAUAUAUUCUCCGUAUAAUAUUAUCUUCUAGCAUUUUUUUAUUGCCUAGACACGCACAUCAAUGCAAUUUUAUUACCAAAUUGCCAUGAGAUAA